rnacentral:rRNA from 1 species
UACGGAGGGAGCUAGCGUUAUUCGGAAUUACUGGGCGUAAAGCGCACGUAGGCGGCUUUGUAAGUUAGAGGUGAAAGCCUGGGGCUCAACCCCAGAAUUGCCUUUAAGACUGCAUCGCUUGAAUCCAGGAGAGGUGAGUGGAAUUCCGAGUGUAGAAGGUGAAAUUCGUAGAUAUUCGGAAGAACACCAGUGGCGAAGGCGGCUCACUGGACUGGUAU